UACGUAGGGUGCGAGCGUUGUCCGGAAUUAUUGGGCGUAAAGGGCUCGUAGGCGGUUUGUCGCGUCGGGAGUGAAAACCCAGGGCUUAACUCUGGGCUUGCUUUCGAUACGGGCAGACUAGAGGUAUGCAGGGGAGAACGAAUUCCGUGGUGUAGCGGUGAAAUGCGCAGAUAUCAGGAGGAACACCGGUGGCGAAGGCGGUUCUCUGGGCAUUACCUGACGCUGAGGAGCGAAAGUGUGGGGAGCGA
rnacentral:rRNA from 1 species